rnacentral:tRNA from 1 species
GCCUCUGUAGCUCAGUGGCUAGAGCAGCAGCCUCGUAAGCUGCCGGUCGCCGGUUCGAAUCCGGCCAGAGGCU